CCGUAGGUGAACCUGCGGAAGGAUCAUUAUCGAAAUAAACUUGAACAGGCUGUUGCUGGUUCCUUUCAGGAGGGGCAUGUGCACGCUUGUCAUCUUUAUCAUUUCUCCAACUGUGCACAUAACUGUAGACCUGGGGGCUUUCUUUUUGGAACUCGUUCCGAGUCGGGACUGCUGUGCUUCAUUCGAGAGGUCGGCUUUGCCCUUUGCAUUUUCCAGGUCUAUGUCAUUUAUUUCACAACCUCUGUGUAAAAUGGUUUAGAAUGGUUGAACAAUAUAAAAAGUUAAUACAACUUUCAGCAACGGAUCUCUUGGCUCUCGCAUCGAUGAAGAACGCAGCGAAAUGCGAUAAGUAAUGUGAAUUGCAGAAUUCAGUGAAUCAUCGAAUCUUUGAACGCAUCUUGCGCUCCUUGGUAUUCCGAGGAGCAUGCCUGUUUGAGUGUCAUUCGACUUGUCAACCGCAUCAAUUGCGAUGUGGCUUGGAUGUGGGGGUUUUUGCAGGCUCUCUUUCAUGAGGUCGGCUCCCCUGAAAUGUAUUAGUGGUAUCUGAGCAGAACUACUACCGUCAGGUGUGAUAAAUUAUCUAUGCCUUUGGGUAUGCUGCAUCAACAGAUUGUGCUGCUCAUAACGAAACAAUUGUUUGACGAAUUUGACCUCAAAUCAGGUAGGACUACCCGCUGAACUUAAGCAUAUCAGUAAGCGGAGGAA
rnacentral:rRNA from 1 species